CACGUAGGCACCAAGCGUUGUCCGGAUUUAUUGGGCGUAAAGAGCUCGUAGGCGGUUCGGUAAGUCGGGUGUGAAAACUCGGGGCUUAACCCCGGGCCUGCAGUGGGUACGGGCAGACUAGAGGUAUGCAGGGGAGAACGGAAUUCCUGGUGUAGCGGUGAAAUGCGCAGAUAUCAGGAGGAACACCGGUGGCGAAGGCGGUUCUCUGGGCCUUACCUGACGCUGAGGAGCGAAAGCAUGGGGAGCAAACAGG
rnacentral:rRNA from 1 species